rnacentral:rRNA from 1 species
GACGUAGGGUGCGAGCGUUUGUCCGGAUUUAUUGGGCGUAAAGAGCUCGUAGGCGGCUCGUCGCGUCAGCUGUGAAAACCUGCAGCUUAACUGUGGGCGUGCGGUCGAUACGGGCAUCACUGGAGUUCGGCAGGGGAGACUGGAAUUCCUGGUGUAGCGGUGAAAUGCGCAGAUAUCAGGAGGAACACCGGUGGCGAAGGCGGGUCUCUGGGCCGAUACUGACGCUGGAGGAGCGAAAGCGUGGGGAGCGAUCCGG